rnacentral:rRNA from 1 species
AACGCGAAGAACCUUACCUGGGUUUGAAAUGCAGAGGACGUUGUCAGAGAUGACAAUUCCCGCAAGGGUCUUUGCACAGGUGCUGCAUGGCUGUCGUCAGCUCGUGCCGUGAGGUGUUGGGUUAAGUCCCGCAACGAGCGCAACCCUUAUCAUUAGUUGCCAACAUGAAAGAUGGGGACUCUAAUGAGACUGCCUGGGUUAACCAGGAGGAAGGUGAGGAUGACGUCAAGUCCGCAUGGCCUUUAUAUCCAGGGCUACACACGUGCUACAAUGGUCGGUACAGAAGGCAGCGAAACCGCGAGGUGGAGCAAAUCCCUAAAGCCGAUCUCAGUUCAGAUUGUAGUCUGCAACUCGACUACAUGAAGUUGGAAUUGCUAGUAAUGGCGUGUCAGCAACAACGCCGUGAAUACGUUCCCGGGCCUUGUACACACCGCUCGCGA